rnacentral:rRNA from 1 species
AACGAACGCUGGCGGCAUGCCUAAUACAUGCAAGUCGAACGAGAUCUUCGGAUCUAGUGGCGCACGGGUGCGUAACGCGUGGGAAUCUGCCCUUGGGUUCGGAAUAACUUCUGGAAACGGAAGCUAAUACCGGAUGAUGACGUAAGUCCGAAGAUUUAUCGCCCAAGGAUGAGCCCGCGUAGGAUUAGCUAGUUGGUGGGGUAAAGGCUCACCAAGGCGACGAUCCUUAGCUGGUCUGAGAGGAUGAUCAGCCACACUGGGACUGAGAUACGGCCCAGACUCCUACGGGAGGCAGCAGUAAGGAAUAUUGGACAAUGGGCGAAAGCCUGAUCCAGCAAUGCCGCGUGAGUGAUGAAGGCCUUAGGGUUGUAAAGCUCUUUUACCCGGGAUGAUAAUGACAGUACCGGGAGAAUAAGCUCCGGCUAACUCCGUGCCAGCCGCCGCGGUAAGAC